rnacentral:rRNA from 1 species
GGUAACCAGUGGCCGGCAGCGUCGGUAAUAGGAUGGGCGCAAGCGUUGUCCGGAUUUAUUGGGCGUAAAGUGCUCGUAGGGGGCUUGUCGCGUUGGUUGGGAAAGCCCGGGGCUUAACCCCGGGUCUGCAGUCGAUACGGGCAGGCUAGAGUGUGGUAGGGGAGAUCGGAAUUCCUGGUGUAGCGGUGAAAUGCGCAGAUAUCAGGAGGAACACCGGUGGCGAAGGCGGAUCUCUGGGCCAUUACUGACGCUGAGGAGCGAAAGCGUGGGGAGCGAACAGGAUUUGAUACCCCUGUAGUC